rnacentral:rRNA from 1 species
AUUGAACGCUGGCGGCAGGCCUAACACAUGCAAGUCGCACGAGUGGCGGACGGGUGAGUAAUGUCUGGGAAACUGCCCGAUGGAGGGGGAUAACUACUGGAAACGGUAGCUAAUACCGCAUACCAUCGGAUGUGCCCAGAUGGGAUUGGCUAGUAGGUGGGGUAAAGGCUAACCUAGGCGACGAUCCCUAGCUGGUCUGAGAGGCUGACCCGCCAAGCGGGAGCUGAGACCCGGUCCAGACUCCUACGGGAGGCAGCAGUGGGGAAUAUUGCACAAAAGGCGCAAGCCUGAUGCAGCCAUGCCGCGUGUAUGAAGAAGGCCGUCGGGUUGUAAAGGACUUUCAGCGGGGAGGCGUUACCCGCAGAGGAAGCACCGGCUAGCGCCGUGACAGCAGCCGCGGUAAUAC